CCCAUGAAGGUCAUUCCCAUGGCCGCACCAUAAAAGCCAACCUCAGACGCCAUCCAUGCCAAGAGAGACUGUAAGGUACCUGCACCAGCUGGAGGAGCAGAUGAAACUGAAGAAAUGACGCACUACCUACAAUUGUGCCGGUGUGCACCCAGCCAUGAGCCGAGCGACACUUCCAUUCUGUCCUUGCUGCUCUCAGCGCCUGGCACGAGUUAGACAGGGACGUUUGAAAAUGGGAACAGGUGGAGUGAGAGAGAAGGACUCUGGAGAAUUGGAGGGAGAUCAGAGAGGGAGUUACAAGCAUCGGCUGAGAGAUCAAUACUUAAUUACAUUAAAUAUUCACCUGAAUUUUCAGCUAUCCAUGGUCCAGACAUAG
rnacentral:lncRNA from 1 species